AAAGGUUGACCUCGGAUCAGGUAGGAAUACCCGCUGAACUUAAGCAUAUCAAUAAGCGGA
rnacentral:rRNA from 1 species